UUUUUUUUUUCAGAAAAGAGCAAGUUAGUACCUUGUAUCUAAACAUCAACCUUGUGGAGCCAAGACUAAUUCAGUCGUACGAGCAUAUUAUAAGGAAUUUUAUCCGUGAGAUCAAACUGCAGAGCACAGAAAUGGAAAACCUGGCCAUUGCAGUGAAGAGAGCCCAGGACAAGGCAGCCAUGCAGCUGAGUGAGUUGGAAGAGGAAAUGGAUCAGAGGAUUCAGGCAGCAGAACACAAGAUGCGUAAAGAUG